rnacentral:rRNA from 1 species
AUUGAACGCUGGCGGCAGGCCUAACACAUGCAAGUCGAGCGGUAACAUUUCUAGCUUGCUAGAAGAUGACGAGCGGCGGACGGGUGAGUAAUGCUUGGGAACAUGCCUUGAGGUGGGGGACAACAGUUGGAAACGACUGCUAAUACCGCAUAAUGUCUAACGGACCAAAGGGGGCUUCGGCUCUCGCCUUUAGAUUGGCCCAAGUGGGAUUAGCUAGUUGGUGAGGUAAUGGCUCACCAAGGCGACGAUCCCUAGCUGGUUUGAGAGGAUGAUCAGCCACACUGGGACUGAGACACGGCCCAGACUCCUACGGGAGGCAGCAGUGGGGAAUAUUGCACAAUGGGCGCAAGCCUGAUGCAGCCAUGCCGCGUGUGUGAAGAAGGCCUUCGGGUUGUAAAGCACUUUCAGUCAGGAGGAAAGGUUAGUAGUUAAUACCUGCUAGCUGUGACGUUACUGACAGAAGAAGCACCGCUAACU